rnacentral:snRNA from 1 species
GUGCUUGCUUCACCAGCACAUAUAAUAAAACUGGAACGAUAGAGAGAAGAUUAGCAUGGCCCCUGCGCAAGGAUGACACGCAGAAAAUCAAUUAGAAUAUGUAAAACUUG